rnacentral:rRNA from 1 species
ACGCGAAGACCUUACCUGGGCUCGAACGGCUUUGGAUACCCUUGCAAACAGGGACUUCUCGCAAGAGACCGGAGUCGAGGUGCUGCAUGGCUGUCGUCAGCUCGUGUCGUGAGAUGUUGGGUUAAGUCCCGCAACGAGCGCAACCCUUGUCCUGUGUUGCCACUCCCCUUAAAAGGAAGCACUCUCAGGAGACCGCCAGCGAUAAGCUGGAGGAAGGUGGGGAUGAUGUCAAGUCAUCAUGGCCUUUAUGUCCAGGGCUACACACGUGCUACAAUGGACGGUACAAAGCGCUGCAAACCCGCGAGGGGGAGCUAAUCGUUAAAAACCGUUCUCAGUUCGGAUCGCAGGCUGCAACUCGCCUGCGUGAAGCUGGAAUCGCUAGUAAUGGCGUAUCAGAACGACGCCGUGAAUACGUUCCCGGGUCUUGUACACACCG